rnacentral:misc_RNA from 1 species
GUGCGUUAUCGAUGUGUGGCCGAUUAUCGAUGCAGUUUUAUAAACAGAAUUCUAAAGUACAACAAAAGCACAAAUUAAGCAGCUGGCGAACGAAAAAGCACCCAUCUCGGCCCCGCUUGCACCUCGGCAUCUCCUGCGGCGGGAGGCGCAGCGCCUAGUCCCGCGCCUCCGCUCCUUUCAAGGAAAUCGCCCUGCGCCCGCCACGCAAUUAUGCAAGUUGCAGCAGCGGAUCUAACUGUACUCGCCGCCAGUGGAACAGCAAGAGGAGGAGGAGCCCCACGGGCCCGAGUCCAUGACCCUUGACAACCUGGGGCAGGCACCGCCACCGCUAGAAGACGAGUCCACACAAUCGACAUGAACCAGAGACAUUCCGAACCAUUCUACAUAUCGCCCCGGCUGUUCGACAACCGGCGUCUUAAGCGGCGUCGCGGUCGGUGGAUGGAACGCCUGCUCGAGCACCAGCGGAUCUGCAUGGCACGGAUGCGUGUCCAAGCGACUCUCGCCUCCAAGACUGACCGGCAGCUGUCCCAUCUGCAGCGACGCCAUGCGGCUGCCACUCUGCAGGCGGACGUGACCAUCGACCUGCUGUCGGACGACGAUGACACCCCAUCGGCCGGACAGUCCACUGCAGCUGGCCACAAUCGCCUCCUGAUUCCUGCCCCUAGGCACAGCUUGCACCGAGCACCCAGAGUGGGCAGAAGGCAGGCGCCGCGCAGAACUGCCCCACACUCACUCGCCGUGACCGAGAGCAUCCUGAUAACCAGCGACGACGAGCACAACGAGCAGGAACCCUGCAGCACGGCAAGAGUGCGCUCCCAGCUCUCCAUGCGCUCGCCGCCACCACUCGCACCGCUUACACCGUCGGAGACCGUCGAAGAGGUAACUGUUUCGUUGGUGCCGCGCACCUCCACCACUGCCAACUGCCACAAGCUAGUGUCAGGCCACGCCAAGCCCUGUCAAGCGUCCAUAGCGGCCAGCAAUGGGAUCGUCACCGCCGAUGGAGGAGAGGGCGGCAAUGAAACGGGCUGUUUUCUGGAGGUGGACGUUGGCGGCGGCAUCACAGCCACGCUGCCGGACGAGACGACCGUACACACGGUCAUAGCCAACCGUAUUUACGAACUCUCGCUGAGCAAACUACGCGAAGGCCUGGCCUUUAGUGGAGUGCCGGAAUACACGCACGACCUGAUGCCGGAACAGCUGCAGAAGCUGUCGCCGGCAUUGCGAGCCAAAGUGGCGCCCUUGGUGGCUCCCUCGCCGCCCACGCCCAUCUCGCUAAAACUGUCCAGCGACCUCAGCAUAUCACUGAUCUCAGACGAAGACGACUGCGAAAGCACCGGUCCACAUGCCAACGGAGGAGUCGGCACCGAGCCAGUGCACCCUGUUGUGGUGGCUGCGGCGGAGGCGCACGCUGCCGCCAAGCUGCUUAAGCAACAGCAGCCACAGCUGUCGGUGGUGCAGCAUCUGCAGUACGUGGGCGGCGGACUCGCAGCUCCAGUGGCUCUGGCCCUUCCGGUGAUGGCAGCGAAUCCGACCUCGUCCGCUUCCGUCGUUGCCUUGCCGCUGCAGCUGCCGCGACGCCGAAAGCUGGGAUGAGCUGGAUGACUGAUGACCCGCCGGAACCGAGUCCCCAUCGCCAUAAUAGCAUUCCCCGAGCCGGACGCACGGCAUAGACUUUAACUAGCAGUGGCUAGAAGUGCAAAUAUGAACCUUUAAAUGAAACGAGACGACAACGUACAAAUGAAAGUAGAAAAGCAUCAACCCAUAUACCCAUAUACAUUGUUGAGAAAAAACACAAAUUUCAAAAGAUUAUAAGAGGGAAUAGAGAAUUUGAAGCGAGUGAGAAAGGUGAGCCCAUAUUUAUUAAGUACAAGUAGUUAGCAUAAGGCAUACUAUGUAUUUGUACAUUUGAUUUAGUGUAUCAUACAUGGCUGAAUCACGUCGUGUAAUCCGUCGCAGUCCGCCGUCUGUAUUACAUUAGCUGAUCACCAAAUCGGAAUAAAUUUUCAUUGUAUAUACA